rnacentral:rRNA from 1 species
AUUGAACGCUGGCGGCAGGCUUAACACAUGCAAGUCGAGCGGGGAAGGGUAGCUUGCUACCUGACCUAGCGGCGGACGGGUGAGUAAUGCUUAGGAAUCUGCCUAUUAGUGGGGGACAACAUUCCGAAAGGAAUGCUAAUACCGCAUACGCCCUACGGGGAAAGCAGGGGAUCUUCGGACCUUGCGCUAAUAGAUGAGCCUAAGUCAGAUUAGCUAGUUGGUGGGGUAAAGGCCUACCAAGGCGACGAUCUGUAGCGGGUCUGAGAGGAUGAUCCGCCACACUGGGACUGAGACACGGCCCAGACUCCUACGGGAGGCAGCAGUGGGGAAUAUUGGACAAUGGGCGAAAGCCUGAUCCAGCCAUGCCGCGUGUGUGAAGAAGGCCUUUUGGUUGUAAAGCACUUUAAGCGAGGAGGAGGCUACCGAGAUUAAUACUCUUGGAUAGUGGACGUUACUCGCAGAAUAAGCACCGGCUAACUCUGUGCCAGCAGCCGCGGUAAAAC